AGCAAAACCCCUUCAAAGUUCUCAAAAGAAAAAAAAAAAUAAAAUGAAGCCGCCACUCACUAGUCACUCUGCUGCUGCUGCUGCUCCGGUGUAUAACGCCCAGAUUGUUUUUCCGGUUGUAAAACGUUUUUAAAAAAAUUUAAUAUUUUUUUAAAUUUAAUGUAUUGAUUUUAAAAAAUAAAUAAAUAAUUAUUUUAAUAUAUUUUUUUAAAAAAAUUACUUUGACAGUUACCAAACGAUCAAACAGCUAAAAGACCACCAAGAUAAGCGGCGGCACCGGCGGUUUCAGCUUCUACAUUCGGCGCCAAUUCCAAAAAGAUGUAUAUUUGUGCUCCUCCUCCUCAUCGCUUUAUCUCUCUAAAAUUCCCUGAACUUCAUAGCUCCUCAAAGCUUAAUGAUUUGCAGGUUUUGAGGUCGUUUGGUUUGAGUAAGAGAAACUUUAAAGUAUUUUCAGUGACUGUCUCAUCGUUAUCAAGUAUGAGUGAGGCCUCUAAUUAUAUACCUGCUGCUCCUAUUUUUCUACCUGAAGGAUCAUGGCAACAAGUAAGCUUAGCCCACUAUUUGUUUCAAGAUUCCUGGGGAAGUUACUGCUGCGAAGGGGUUCAAAGCGGCAGGGAUGUAUGGUGGAUUGCGUGCCAAAGGGGAGAAACCUGAACUUGCACUUGUUAGUUGUGAUGUUGAUGCUACAGUUGCAGGUCAAAGAAUAAACAGGGUAUGGAUGAUUGAUUCCACUGUCAAGAAGUCGUUGCUUUCUCAGCUUGCUGUGAUACUCCAGUUUAUGUGCUAUGAACCAUGCAGCUUCAAAGAUGAAUGAGUUUAACUGAAUGAGUUUAUACUUGAUCGAAGACCGAUAAUGUUGUCGUUUUUGGAUUUGUUUUUGUGGUUAAUCAAAAUGCAAUAUCUUCACCGAAUCAGCAAUCUCUGCGACCACCUCAGCAUGUCAUGUGAACGUAAUUCACAGGAAAAAGGAAAGGAACCAGGCAUAUGAAUCGGAUAUUAUCCUCCUUGCAUAUGAUGCUUUGCCGUCUUGGGUGGAAAUUAUUUCCUCCGAGUCUCAAGAAUAUAAUUAGUACGAUAUCAUCAAACCGACCAGAAUCUUAGCCAUCCUCGUCCUCUUUUCUUCUAUGAAAAAAUUUCUUAGGUGAUCAGUCAUCAAUGGAUUUUGAGGGAUCUCUGGGGGGAGACGAAUGAAAACGACGUCAGCUUGCAUGGAAUAGAUGGUGUGUGAAAGGCUUUCAUCCACAUUCCAAAAUCUAAACCACAAGAUGGCUUGAUGAGAUGGCUAGAAAUCUGACUCACGAAAUCUUCCAUGUCCUCUUCCAGAUUCUUCCAGUCCACCAUCUUCUCCAGUAACAGUGUUCAACCGAAACAGGUAACUCAGAGAAUCGGCCGAUAUCUUUCUAGCAAGUAUAAAUGAAGAAUAUUGAUGAUGGUCGGUGAGAGUCGUGUCUCCCUGUGGAGGAAGCAACUCGUAUCGGUUAUUAGUCGAAGAAUAUUAAAUCUAUCGAUAAAGCAUUUAGAAAGGUACUCUAAUUCUAAAGCACACUUGUGGUAUAUUGACAAAUUAAUGCAUCUACCUCAAUUCCUAG